AUGAUGGAGAGCGGGACGCCUUCCCCUGCCGUGCCGCCUAGCGAGGUGGGCGAUCCUGAGGUGUCGUCGCGGAGAGUUUCUCCGAAUCUGGCAGGGGCGGAAGAUGGCUAUGUGGCCCCCCGAGGUUCUCCGUGUCCGGCCUUCGAAAGAGGUCAUGGGACAAGUCCGACACCGUCUGGUGCUCAGCCGGAGGAGCUAAAGAUUCUACUGGGGCGAGCUUCUAUCUCGGAGGAGCAUCGUGCAUUGAUGGGCACGGUGAUUGAAAGGAUUUCAUCCGCACAAAGCGGAUUGCAUGAGGCCGUCAGAAGUUUACUGACGGGUUUUGAGGCGGCAGGGUGUCUGGAAUCAAGCCGGACUGAUGAUUUUGCCGAACUAAAGCGGCAACUGGACGUGGCCGAUGCCGACAUCGCGCUUGUCAACAAACGGCUUGAUGAGGCUCAAGAUGGUGCGGCCGCCGUGGAGAGUCUUAGGGCAGAACUUGCCCGAGCUAAGGAACAAGCCAGAAGAAGUGAUGCGGCUGCCGAGAAAGCCCUUGAAGAGCUGAAAGCCGAACAGGCUGCUCACUGCCGAAGCAAGGAGGAGAUGGCCGAGAUGGCCGUCAAGUUAAAGGGCGCUGCUGACCGUUGCAAUCUUCUUGAAGAAGAAGACUGGGCGAGGCGGACAGACUUAGAGAAGGCCAUUACUGAUGCCAAAGACGCUCGCUCUGCGAUGAGAGCUGCGAAGGAGGAGCUGCGCCAAGCCGGACAGAUUGCGGCUGGAAGGCCAUUUAUGCCGCGGAAGAAGUUUUGCGAUCCGAGGUUUGCUCCAUUGGACCGGAUGUGGAGUGUGGAGGACACCUAUCUGGAUUUGGCAGCGAGUGCUGCUGAUGCGACCAAACACUUUCGAGAUAAAAAAGAUCACGAAGUGGAAAAGCUUUUCUGGUCGCAGUUUCACAAUCCAGAGCGUCCACUUGCAGUGGAAAAUUGUUUGGCCCAAUGGGCCGAACUGAAUAGGUUGUCCAGACUCGCCAUGAAGUACGUCAUGGGUCAUGUUUGGCUGGGGAGAUCGGAGCCGAAGAGUUACUUCAGCUCAGUGCAACAAUUCCUUGACGCGGCGCCACGUAUCAAUGCGGUGAAGAGGUCAGCCUGCAUAGAGGGCGCGCGGAUGGCUCUUGCCCGUGUCAAAACAUACUGGGCAGAGAUGGAGUCCACCGUUGUUGCGUCCCGAGAUUCGGACAAAAGCCGAGUACCUUCCGAGCACUAUUUUCAGGAAGUCCUUGAAGGCGCUCGUAUAAUAGAGACGCAGUGCUCGAAGGAUGCUAUUUUAUGA
rnacentral:rRNA from 1 species